UCUCCGUAGGUGAACCUGCGGAGGGAUCAUUACUGAGUGAGGGUCUCCGGGCCCGACCUCCAACCCCAUGUGAACCGAAACCUGUUGCUUCGGGGGCGACCCUGCCAUCGUGCGAGGCGCCCCCGGAGGCUCAUUAAACACUGCAUCUCUGCGUCGGAGUCUUAAUGAAUUUAAACAAAACUUUUAACAACGGAUCUCUUGGUUCUGGCAUCGAUGAAGAACGCAGC
rnacentral:misc_RNA from 1 species